UUUCAAUGUAUUGACAGCUGGAGAUGGAGCAGUGCGCUUAAAAUACUGCAAGUGUGUACAGAAAUCAGUAUGUGAAAUGCUUUAUCCCUAGCCAACAUAUGACGAAAUUACAAUAUAAAAGUGCAAAAAAAAUCAAAAUGCGCCAACAGAUUCCGCAGCGCUGCCCAUGGGUACAAAGAUAAAAGUACAACAGAGAAACAAUACAAUAAAAGACAAAAUUUAACAGACAAAUACAGGAGGAAUUGAGGGCCCUAUUACCAUGGGAACUUACAAUCUACAUGGGAAACAGGAGGUGGGGACUGCAAAGGAAUCUGCAUAUGACACUGCAUCUGCUUUUAAGAGAUCGAUGCUCAGCCACUU